rnacentral:lncRNA from 1 species
AUUUCCGCUAGAUGGUGACAUUGACAGUGACAGGAUUUUAUAAAAUAAAGGAAGAAGGCGAUGCCAAACACUUCGUCUGCUAUGGAAAUAGUUAAUCUGGUUCAGGACAUCAGGAGUCACGUUGACGUAAGCACUUUCUGCUUGGAGGGCCUUUGGCUCAGGAAAUCAGCCAGCUCAAAACCUGUGUUGACUUGAAGAUGAAAGUCUAUCAUACCAGCCUUGCAAGACAACUACAUUUCAGUGAUGAGGGCUUAAAUGAAGCUGCAGUAGUACAUCGAGUAAACCCUACUAAAGUGAUGGAAAUGGCACCGACACCACCCCCACGACAGGUGGGGGGCCCUGUCGUGUUCCACUUUUGGACUUCAUGUAGAACCUGACAAUGAAUCUGUUGCCAAGCCUAUAUCUUGGACCAAAGAGCAACGUGCAAAAUCCGAACCCAUCGUUCCUUCUCUACUAAGUGAAGAAAAGCUGUUCAAUCCGUUCAUGCGUGAUAACGAGCUUACGGUACAAAAGCAUGCGAAACAGAAUGAUCCUAUUAAAACGAUGAAAUCUUCACGCACUGAGAAAAACUCGUUUAAAGCCAACAUAUGAAAACUCUGGCAAACGGCUGAGGCCUUAAACUUGCAACGUCCCGUUAUUGCAUUCGUGUGUUAUGCAUAUUUCUCAUGUCUCCUGAUUUGAAUUGUUGAUGAUUUUCAUCACGAUUCAGGGUAUCAGUACUCAGUAGGCAUGUUGAAAAUACUCAUUUUUUGCGUCGGAAAGAUUGACUAGAAUGAUUAUGUGGUCACUUCAGCAUGCUUCUAUACCUUGACUGCAGCAUACCAAAUACAUCCAGAGGUCUGAAGAUUCCAUCUUAUUGUAUGUAAAAGAAUACAGCCGUGGCAAGUGAGAAAAUUCAGAUUAUGGAACCUGAAAGAGGUAUAACAACUAGAUUAUGGAAAACAUUACUAAGAUAAUUUCUGUAUAGAGAACCUUUAGUACCAAAAUUGGAUGCAUUUGACUUAGAGAAGACGAAAACGUGCUGGCUAAGCCAAGCCAUGCUCCCCGUUUGUAUAAUUUUGAGAAGGUUUGUUUGUUUUACUAUGUUUAAAGUGCCUCCAGUACGGGAAUACCAUCACGGAUACAGGUCUUCUGAUGAAGGCCACAAAAAGCACUGGCGAUGGCAGGUCGAAAUAUGAAAAGGGGGAAAGUAGGAUAGAAAACUGAUAGAUGAUUAAAUGCGUUUAAGAAGGUCGGACUUCCAAAGAAAUUCGAGGACGGCGUUUCGAGUGGCGUAGUUAGUGUUAGAAGGUAAAAUCUAUUGCACCUCACAUGUGAGAUACUCCAAGCGCCGAGACUGGGUGUGACCUUUUGAGAAAUUAGUACAAAGUUUUUUUUGUAAAUCAAUUUUAGCCAUAAUACCUUUAACUACUCAGCAUGGCUUUAUUUUUCAAAAUCCAGGUUAACAUUGAACUAAACGUCAUCUAGUGGUUGAAAAUCCAACUGCUUAAAAAAUUUAAUCAUCUUUAAUUGCUAUGUGAUUACUGAAAUGAGGGGUUUACACGUUAAUUACGUUCCUGGAUUUUGUAUUUUGAAGGAUACUUCAACCAAAAACUAAUGUUUACCUUGUCAACAUCUAAGCAAGUUAGUAACCAGAUAAUUUUGGGCAAACUAUGUCUGCCACUCAUCAUCAUGCUAUUGCCAAGUGAGAGGAUUCACCUUUUGCUUACCACUGUGUACUAGGCAUCAGACUUUUAUUGCUAUCAAUGUCAUGAACCUUAAUGCAGCUUGAUGCUGAUACUGUAGUUUACUGUUGUUUUUCAUCUUGUGAGUGCAGCAUAUUCAUAUAUGUUGGGAAACAUCCACUUUUCCAUCAUUGAACAGUCAAAACCCUCCAUGACCAAAAAUCAUGAAACAUCUACCAAUCCAUCAAUUUUUCAGAAGACUUUUUUUUGCACUGUUACUUAGCCAAAGAUGGUGUCUUAAACACAAUCUAAAAUUUUUUAACUGCAAAUAUUUACCUUCCUUGAGCACAACACUGCCGUUUCGACAAUGUCUUCAGUUUCUCUCCAGUGGACCACACACCCGCCGCCUUCGCCUUUGCCGCCUCGCCACCGUCUUGGAUCGUCGUCAUGGAGCUGGACUUGUAUUUGCCGUCUAUCCCGAAGCCGUAGCUCGAUUACCCAUCGCUCCGUUAUGGUCAAUCCUGUUUUUCGUCAUGUUACUUACAUUUGGGCUCGGAACGCAAUUUACCGUUUUGGAGACUGUUGUUACAACAAACGUUGACUUAUGGCCACACAAGCCAGUGCAACUGCCAUGUUUCUACUUGGCUUAGAAUGUGCACAGAUGGAGGCAUGUACGUCUUACAGUUGAUCGAUAUGUAUGCAGCUACGUUUUCCGCCCUGAUCGUCGGAAUGGCUGAAGUGUGCUUCAUCGCAUGACAUUAUGGUAUCGAUAGAUUCCUUGACGACAUCAAACUAAUGCUCGGGCAUGACGCACCACCACACUGAUAUUGGCGAUUCGUUUGGAAAUUUUUCACGCCCGUAAUCAUCGUCUUGAAGAGUUAGAAUUGGAGUUGGCUACUGUUUUGGAACGCGACUCGGAAAGCGAUAAUUGGAUUAAUAUGAAAUGUACGGCACCUAAUUAAAGCGACCGUCCAUCUGUCAACACCCCAGCAAACCCGCAUCGAUAACAGCUUAGGAAUUAUAGGUUUCUUGUUAAAUUUCACCGCGUUAAAAAGGAUUGCAUCCAUCAGUCACACAAUGUGUUACGAAUAUGCGUUUAGUGCACUUUAUAUUGAAUCAAGGUAUCGCACGGCGUGACGUCUUUUAAAUUUUGUCAAUUGCAGAUUCAAUGAUAAAUAUCUCGGCGAAUACAUUUCCAGAACUCGUAAUAUUAAAAUCGAAUGAAACAAGGGUGGUCUGUAAGAAUUUCGUUCAAAAUUCAGUGCUUCACUGUUGAAAGUUACAAAGAAAUAUUUUUAAUGUGUGGUUAACGCUAAAAUAUGGCGCAAAAGUAAUUAACUACUCAAGAGUAGUCCGUAUUUAAAGCCCGACCAAGGCCUAUGAUGAUGGCCGGCCACUAUAUUUAAGCCGAACUAGGGCUUUCGUUUACGGUCGACUCAUUCCUAUUUUAAAACCUAGAAGGCAACAAAUGGGUAUGGACAUCUGGUGGAUGAAUUUCAGACUAACUGAAUUUUGACAUUCAUUAAAAUGAUACGGGAUGGGGUGUGUGUCCAAGUGCAAGUGACAAGUAAUCCUUAAGUUUAUUUCUUGGCUAAUUUUUGUGUUCCCAUCGAUAUUUCAGCUAUUGACUAUGGUUGUGUUAUUAACGAUCUAUUCCCCUUGUCAUCAGUUAGGCAAGCUGUUGAACGACAAAAUUGUUAGCAGCCCAGGAUGCAACUAUUUCAAACUAAAAGCACUAAGGAUGUGGACGCUGGAAGAACUGUGAGCAUCUUAUGUCUGUCGAUUUUCAUUAUGCCAUUGUUCAGUGAGAGGAUUCAUAUUCUACCCACCAAGCUACCCAUGAGCUUCAACGCUAUCAUCUUAUUAGGGCUGCGAGCCUUCGUCUUUUUCUACGCAAAUCGCCGUCCCGAGGAUUUCCGCAUUUCUGUCCCACCAGACCGCACGCAUUAAAACUACUAUCUUCAAAGCCAACAUCAGGAUUUCGGCCUUGCUGUUUUCUUCCUUCACCUUCGACUCAUCGCUAUCCUCAAUCCAUCUAUCCAAUAUCGUCAUGACUUGAACGAAAUAGCUAAUGACGCCAUCGCCAUUGCCAUCGCCAUCGCCAUCGCCUUCGCCAUCGCUGCCGCUGCCGCUGCCGCCGCCAUCUUCGCCUUCGCCAUCGCCAUCGCCAUCGCCGCCGUCUUCGCCUACGCCUUCCCGUUCACCCUUCACAGAAAAGUCGAUCACAAUUGGAUUUGGUUCAGCAAACAGCCCACGGCGAUGGUGGGAUUUCACCGUGGAUCGUCCUCGUGGUAUUGUUUUGUUUUGCAUUGUAUCUUGUAUGUAUAAGUUAACCCGUUGGCUGCCACCCCGUUUGCGUCCCAUUUUUUUUUUUAGCUUUUAGGGAACCGGGCGCUGUUCUGCCCCAUGGCCAUGGGGGGAACAGUCGCCGCGCCUAAAGGCUUUGUGCCUUUAGGCGCCGUAGGCAAUGCACCAGUAGGGACUUCUCUUUGUCGGUGCGGUGAUAGAUUCCUGGGGUGUGCAUUCCCGGAAUGGUUUCUAUUGCCGUGCCAGCCCGGACUUGUCUUAGGACAAGUCCCACCUUGUUCGUGAUCCUUCAGACGCGAUGCGUAGCUAAUGUAGUUUAAGCAACCUACGGGUUGCAUGGCCUGGCAGCCAACGGGUUAACUUAAUUAAGUGUGUACGUUUGUAUGUAUGUAUGUAUGUAUGUAUGUUUAUGUAUUUUACAUUUAUAUAAUAUGU